GUUGACUUCUCACUGCCUCCAACCUCCAGAGAAAACGGCGUUUAGAGUGGACAGCCCCCUGAAGGCGAUGUAGAGGUCCUCAGGGCUACAGAGCUUCAUUUCAACAUGGCGGCGAACAGCAAUAGCGGCACGGGGAGUAAAAGCAGUGGAGGGAAGCAGUCUGGCCCUUCUGCCGAGCAGAUCCCUAAUGACCAAGCCAGAGGAGACAGUGGCAAAGAAAAAACUCCCUGAGACCUCAUGAGGAAGAAACGUUGAAAGGAACCGCACUGAAAAAGAUCCUCUCGUCUGGGUGUCUCUGGAUUGUAGGAUUAUAAAUCAUCACUCACUCUCCGACAGUUGUGUGUUAUAACAUCAGGGAGCAGAGAGUAUGUUGAAAGGUUGUAUGAGCAUCAUAGUCUGUAUAAUUACAGCAGCAGUUCUUACACGUACACGUCUACAGUACCAAGGUAAAAUUAUCCACUGACAAAAGGGUGACGCUUCGGUGUAAACUGUUUUUUGACUACUGGAAAUCUUGUGGGAAUGACCGAAAACAGCAGAGUCGCAAGGUUCAGUCAGGAAGGUCCGGGGGUGAGAGGAGCCACAGGGGGUGAUGUGUCCGGAUCAGGCACUGACAUCGCGGCAGGACUACAUGCACAGCUCUGCAGAGAGAAAG
ensembl:lncRNA